AAUAAAUAUAUAAAUAAAUAAUUUUUUGAAAAGAACCAUCAAAACUAGGAAUGGAAGGGAACUUCCUCAGUCUGAUAAAGGGCAAUUUACAAAACACCUACUGUCAAUGUAUUUAGUGGUGAAAGACUGAACGCUUUCCACACUGAGAUCAAGAACAAGACAUGGAUGUCUACACACACUACUUCAAUAUUGUGCUGGAGGUACUAGCAGUAAGGCAAGAAAAAGAAAGAAAAAGCAUAUAGAUUAGAAUGAAAGAAAUACAGUUUCCCUAUUUACAGAUCACAUAUCUAUGAAGAAAUCCUAAAUCAACAAAAGCCACUAGAACUAAUAAGUGAAUUUAACAAAGUAUGGAAUAUAAGGUCAAAAAACAAUAAAAUUUGUCUCUAUAAGUAAUGAGCAAUUGGAAGUUUAAAUGAAAAUGCCAUUUGCAUAAAAUUACGAAAUACAUAGCAAAAAAUUUACCAAGAUACGUGGUGUCUGUACACAAAAUUGCUGAGAGAAAUUGCAGAAAUAGAAAUACCUACAAUGUGAAUCAGAGGACGUAGUAUAAAGAUAUCAACUCUCAAGAUUUAUAGUUUCAAGGAAAUUAAGUAGGCAGGCUCUCUAAGGCAAGGGGCACUUCGGUGGGAAAACCCUGAUGUUUGCUCUGCAUCUCAACUUCCAAUCCAUCAGUAAGCUGUUCUUUAAGGCUUGGCUAUUCCAGAUCUUGGGUAACUGAUGCUUGGGAUGGGGACAAUACUUGGCCACUGGAGCCCGUUGGCCACUCAGACAUUUAGUUUCUGAGGAUCUCUUAGUUCACUGAUUCUCAGAACAUCUUCCAGUUAUAAUUUAGCAGCUGAAGUCUUCUUGGACUUCAUUGUCUCCCUGGAUCAUUUGAUCCUUGAGAGAAUCUGUGAACUUACGUCCAAUAUCUUUCUAAAGUGCAAACUCCAAGAAGAUCUCUCUGUGGGGAUCCCAUCUAGACACUCUUCUCUCUGUUCUCUGCCUGUGGGGCACUACUUCAUAGCUGGAGUCUGGGUACACAACACUACUCUUAUCCCUUGGGACAUGUCUUGCCAUCAUUUGUCUGGAGUGACUCUGGACUGCCUCUCUUGUCCCCCAUACAGUGACAUUUUGUCCAUGACUUGUCCAUGAUAAUGGGCAAAAGUUUGUCUCCUCCUCUCCUUAGACUGACGGCCCUGUGUGAGCCAUGACCAACAUAUCAGGGCCCUCUGGUUUCCUUGCUCACACUGAAAAGGCAAGGAGAGGACUGUCCAGGGUAGGAACUGCAUUUUUUGUGAUAAGCUUGUCUCUGGACCUGUGCAAUGAAUGGUUUCUUUCAAAGAGCUAAUAAGGAACCUUGGCUUAGCCAUCCCUGAAACAUGGGUGGCUGGGAGAGAAAUGCGGACCAGGAAGAAAUCAUGAUAGAGUCUCUAUCAACAUAACAACUGUAUGGAUUCGAUGACCUUGAGAGGUAAGUUCUACCUCGUCUAUACCCCAAACUAUAAAACCUGGGCUUUUAGUGCUUAUCUAAUGCCUGGAUUAAGGAAGGAAAGCUUCCAAGAGGUAUUUAGGCAGUGUUCCUGAUUCAUGAAGGUGCCAAAUUUCCAGUUUCCUAUGAGCUAUAGUACUUCAAUGAGGGAGCAGUUGGCAACAAGCCAUGAAUUACACACAUCUACAAGGGCUCCUGCUGGAGAUACCUACCCAAACUUUUGUCCAAGUGAAUCUUUAGGGUGUUUUCCAGUUGCUUCUCGUCUAGGUUCUCCUUUGAACCCUUUGAUGAGUUAUUCCCUAGUGGCCUACCAAGUCACUCUCUUCAGAAUCAGACCCUAAGCUCCUCAUGGGGUAGCUUUCUAAAUACUAGAUUAUCCUUGGGGAGUGGGCUAUGCUCCAUACUCUUUGGAGACCAUUCCCUACCUGGCACUUUGCCAAGCCCCUCACAUGGAAACUUCCUGGAUGCCUCUGUGUCAUCUGGCCUAGAUCCUUCCCUGCUCCUUUGGCACCUAAGACAGAGGAUUGUGAAGGUCCACAUUUGUCCUUUGGCUGAGAAGUCCCUGCUAGUUUGCCCUGAGGCUGUAUCUGUGCUAGAUGGGCUGAGUGCUGGAUGAGGGUUUCGAAGGUGAUGCUCCAGCUGCCCCCGAUCUCCUUGCUAGGUAAUUCUCCACCGAGGAUGGAGCCUGGUACUUGAGACAGAGAGCCUCCUGUGCUGUUAUACUGAAGACUGUUGGGAGCCAAAGGAUUAAAGAUUUCCUGAGAUCUUUGAAAUAAAAGAGGACAAACAUCACAAAUGUUCCAGCUGCUUCUACAGGUGCCAAUCCAGGGAUUGAAUUUCCCUUAGGUGAGAGACUAUACUUCAUCCUGGAGUCUAGGAAAGGACAUUCCACAGGCCCUAACUGGGGCUGACAUAGUGGGAGAGAAAUUGGAGGUGGGUCCUGGGGCAGGGACUGAGGCCAGUGGGGAUUCUUCAGCCUGGGUAUGAACUGGGCCCAUUAGGGAAUCCACUAAAUAAGAUAAAGGAAGACACUAGUGGGGAUCAACCCUGUCCAGAGACCAGGACAGUAGCCCCAAGGACUGCAGAGAGGGGAGACUCUGGGAGAGCCGGUUCCAGUUCUGUGCAAAGAGCCUUCCGUCUCCCUCUAGUGUUUAGGGCUUGGGAACUGAGGACGGUGCACUUGCUCUGGUUUAUCUAUGUUACUCCACAAGGGUUGAGAACCUUCAGUGUCCCUUGUGUCAGCAAGAAACUAAUGUAGUCCCAGAAGAUUUUACUAAUGUGCUUCAAUUGUUUGGGAAGUCCCCUCCUCCUAUUCUUUCUUCUCCAUAAUCCAGAAAUGCACUCCUUUCCUGACUUGUAUAUUCAGAAGCUUUCAGGUAUCAGGACUGAGGGAGAGAGGCUACCAUGUCAAUGCACCCUGCUUGCAAGUGCCCCAGAGCCAGGCCUCAGGGUAAGGGGAAGCUUUUCCAGCAGGGAUCUUGCUGCCCUCAUGAAGAAGUUAGCCCAGGUGGCCGCACAAGACAAGAAGUACAGGCUGCAGCCAGGAACAAGGUGGGGAUGGGGGACCCAGCAGGCCUGGCAAGAGUCUUGUUCCCCUACAUCAAUGACCUCAUGACACUUCUGUAAUUUCUCUCGCAGGAGCUUUCUUUCACAUUCCCUCCCUUUAAGUUUACCUUCCCAUUUCAAGUUUGGCAGCAGCAGGGCCCUGGAAUCACAUGGGCCAUGCUAGGAAUAGAAGUACAAGAAGAAAGAGACUGAUCAAUGCUUUUCCAAAGAGCAAGCAGGUCCCAUGUCACAUGAGCUCCUUUCUGGCAAGCUGUCCAACCUGGGACACCAGGAGACUUGGUCACAUGUGGUGAAGAGAACAGCAAAAGGAUCUAGGAGGCUGAGUAAAAUGGUCCUUUGGGACAUGAGACUCUGAAAUUCCCAAGCAUUCGUUUAUCAGAUCAGUCAGUGACAGCAACCGACAGGCUCAGAGCAGCAUUACCGUUAGUGAUCCAGUUUCUCUGAGUCCUGGCCAGGAUUUGGUGUUGUCACUGUUUGUUUUAUUUUAGUCAUUGUGUUGCCUCAUCUGAAAAAAUGCAGCCGAAACCUGUUGUAGAGGAUAACGUGUGGAAGUGCUUGGUACACCCUGAACACUCUCUCUUCCAUAAUGUCAGAGUUACAAACAGUCAGCUCAGCCACUGCCUAGCCACUUGGAGCCGGAAACGGUGAUGGCCCGAGAGAGCUCUGGACAGCAUCUAAGAUGUUUUGCUCCCUGUGCAACCACAGAAAGUGAUCUUCCCUGGUCCUUGGUUUCUCUUUCCAUAAAAUGAGGAUGGAACUAGACAAUGUUUCAGCUGUGAGUUUAUAAAAAUAGCAAAGGAAAUCUCAAAGGGAAUAAACUAAGAAUUUUUCCCCCCAUUCAUGAGGGUCACCUUCUGUAUCAGUUAGGAUGCAUUUGACUGCAAGUAACAGAAAGCCCAAGGAAAAGCAGCUUAAACUUGGAGGACAUUUGGUAUCUCUGUAGGUGCCCAAAGCUGUAACGUGGGCUCUUGCAGCAGCCCAAUGACGUCACCAGGCACGGAGUGUCUUCCCAUCUUUCUGCUUUAUAGCCCUCAGCAGGUUGGUUUGGCCAACAUGGCUGCCACACUUACAGGAGGCAUGCUCAAACAACAGUCAGAGAAAGAAAAGGACUGCUUCUCUUCCCCUGGCUCUUUUUCAGAGAAAAAAAAAAAAAAAAAAAGGUUUCUCAAAGCCCUCAGCACACUUUUCUGGCUAUCUCAUUGGCUUUGGAAAGUAUCCUGUGGGCAUUUCUAGGUAAUUCCUGGCAAGAGUGAUGGAAUUAUCACCAUGGUUACUCAUAGACAAAUCCACAUUGAGCCCAUGGGUACUCCAAGAGGUAAGACUUCUCGAACACACAUGGCUAACUGAAACCAGGACAUAAUCAGAGUCUUAUGAGCAAAGAAGGGGGAAGUCAGCUGGGGAGAUGACUAGCUGUGUCUGGUACACUUUCUUGAAUAUGGCAGAAAGAGGGUGUACUGUUGUAUUUCUCUCCAGAGUUUCUGCUGUGUGGUUGUUCUCAACAUGUUCCACUUGACUGCUCUCAGCUCUGUCACCAAGACUGCUGUGUCCAAUCCCCAUAGUAGGAUACUGUUCUUUUGAGCACCAUAGCAGAGAAAAUGUGGGCAGAUCACACUUCACACAAGGUUGAAUAGUCAUAUGAGGUUGUGAUGAAAAUCUAGAGUAAGAGAAAAGUGUUAAACAUGGGAAGGGGAAAUCUUGAAAAUGCUUAUAUUAAACCUAAUGUUUCCCUAGUGUAAGCAGCCCUUCACAGGACCACUCACGGACACACCAUGCUUCAAAUCUUAGUCCCUGAGUUCCUGAGAGGUUUGGACCUCUGUGAGAGAGUGGCAUGAUCUGUUGCUGUUUGAUCUGGGGCACACACUGGCUGCUGGUAGGGGUGUGUCUGAGGGAAGCAGUGGAGGGAGCAGGGAGACCUGUAGGGAGGCUAGUACUGUGAACCAGGAGAGAGAUGGCAGAAGUUCCUGCUGGGUUGGUGACCUUAGAAGUCCCA